CCAUGCUCAGAGCUUCAAUAUCACUGUGGAGGCAACAGGGGAAGAGGGGAGUUUGGAUUAAGUUGCCCAUUAAACUUGUAAAUCUUGUAGAAACUGCAGUCAAGGAAGGAUUCUGGUACCACCAUGCUGAGCCAAGUUACCUCAUGCUUGUUUACUGGAUUCCUGAAACUGCAAGUACAAUCCCUGCAAAUGCAUCACACAGAGUAGGUGUUGGUGCUAUUGUCUUUAAUGACAAAAGAGAGGUGCUUGUUGUGCAGGAAAAAAGUGGCAGAUUUCGAGGAACAGGGGUGUGGAAAAUUCCCACUGGAGUUGUCGAUGAGGGUGAGGAUGUCUUCAUGGCAGCUGUUAGAGAAGUAAAAGAAGAGACAGGAAUUGACACAGAUUUUCAGGAAAUUUUGGCAUUCAGACAGUCACACAAAUCAUUCUUUGGGAAGUCGGAUUUAUUCUUCUUGUGCUUCCUGCGUCCCUUAUCUUUUGACAUCCAAAAGCAGGAACUAGAGAUUGAAGCAGCCCAGUGGAUACCAUUUGAGGAAUAUGCAGCUCAACCUUUUGCCCAGAAGCAUGAACUUUUCAAGUAUAUUGCGGACUUAUGCUUAGCAAAAGUGGACAGAACUUAUGCUGGAUUUUCUCCACUGCCUAUAACAUCAAUUUUUAGUGACCAGAUAAGUUACUUAUAUUCAAACGUACGAGAUUUGAAGCAGUCAAGUUCUGCUGAUCGCCACUAGAAACGGGCUUCUAUUGUUGUACCAUCUGUUGUAUAACUAUAUUAUUUUAUUUAUUAAUGUUUCUCGUGCACUUCAAUAAGAAAAAACACAAUACUUGAAAUGUAUUCCAAGGUUACUAAUGCUCAUCUGAAGAUGGCCAUAUCGUGAAAA
rnacentral:misc_RNA from 1 species